rnacentral:tmRNA from 1 species
GACCUGUUAUUUUGCUGUGAAGAAUGUUAUGUAAUGAGGGUCAGUUUACUGACUAUAGCGAUACACGGACUUCGUAAUAAACCAUUCGGACCCGGGGGCAGUACCCGGCGCCUCCACCACUUUCUCUUUCACUAGGGGGGCGAACCAGGAUCGACGAGGGCGUAAAGGAAGUAUCCGUCGCUCGGCAUGGUACCAUCGUUAUCGGGCCAUUAUGAUAGUUGCAAAUGACAACUACGCGGAAGUGGCCGUCGCUGCAUAGCAGCGCCUAAACUUCACUUAAAGUCCAUCCCCGUCGCAGGGGCAUGGCGGGGUUCGGAAGGCACCUGGCAACAGAAGCCUUCCACU